rnacentral:tRNA from 2 species
GGGCUCGUAGCUCAGUUGGAAGAGCGCCGCAAUGGCAUUGCGGAGGUCGUCAGUUCGAUCCUGAUCGGGUCCACCA